rnacentral:lncRNA from 1 species
CAGAAGAGUUGCUCUCACUGGAGCUGGAGUACAGACUGCUGUGAGCUGCCUGGUAGAUGAUGCUAAGUAGUUCUGAUAUUUCAAUUUGGAUUCCUAGAUUAAAAAGCUGGAUUUAGUUGAGAGGAGAAUAUUAUAAUCACCUUUACCAAGAAAGAUUGGUGCCUAGACCCAACUGUCAUCAGAGAGGCUUCCUUCAGCAACUGAUGGAAACAGACGCCAAGACCCACUGAGUUUGCGGAAUCCUGCUGAAGAACGGAAUCCUUCCUCCCAUCAAGGGGGUCAAGGACAUCCAUAAGAAAACCCACAGAAUUAUCUAACCUGUUUCAUGGAGCUCACAGAGUCUGAACUUAGGCCCUCUACAUAUGGGACAGUUGUGUAGUGUGGGAGCAGGGGAUGCCUCUGAUUCUUUACUGGCUUUUGGGACCCUAUACUGGGUUGCCUUGCAAAGCCAUAAUACAAGGGCAGGUCCUUAGUUUUACUGCAACUUGAUAUACAUGGGAGGCCUGUGCUUUUUCUGAACAGAAACUGAGGCGUGGAUUGGUGGGAGUGGGGCAGUAUGGGGCAAACAUGUGUAGACAUGUAGGCAAAACACCCAUACGCAUAAAGUUAAAUUCUGUAUCUGCCAGGUGGCCUACUCAUUGCCUCUGCCAUUGGCUCCUGAAGCCCAAUUUAGUUCUAAAAUUAGGCACAGUAUUCAAUGAGUAUAUAAUUGAGUAAUGUUUUCUUAGUGGGUUAAUCUUGUUUUGGCACUAACUUGUUGAUCAUGUGUAAGACCAUUUAAGCCAGAGUGUCUGUUCUAAUGCUUCAUAAUUUGGUUGCAGGUAAAUUUGGCUCCUCAUAGAGAGCCUAAGCACUCCAUCAUAUUGCUUGCCUUCUCAGGGCUUCUUGAGGACCAGAAGUCUGUCCCCCUACUGUUUUCUGAACUUUACCCAGACAAACAAAUUUUAAAGCAGGAGGUGACUGUAGGGUGAAGAGUUCAAAACCCAGGGCCAUAGCUAUAGAGAACUUUUUAUUGUAUCAUUCCACAGGACUAUAGUGAUUGAUCCUUGGAGUUACUGAAACACUCAUGUUUAGAUUUUAAAUGGUUUGUUGUUUUCCCAAGUAAUUAAUAAAUUUGUUCAAAU